UACGUAGGGUGCGAGCGUUAAUCGGAAUUACUGGGCGUAAAGCGUGCGCAGGCGGUCUUGUAAGACAGUCGUGAAAUCCCUGGGCUUAACCUAGGAACUGCGAUUGUGACUGCAAGGCUAGAGUGUGUCAGAGGGGGGUGGAAUUCCACGUGUAGCAGUGGAAUGCGUAGAGAUGUGGAGGAACACCGAUGGCGAAGGCAGCCCCCUGGGAUAACACUGACGCUCAUGCACGAAAGCGUGGGGAGCAAACAGG
rnacentral:rRNA from 1 species